UGGCGAUGCUCAUUCUCUUCAUGGGUGUGUAACAGCAGGUGUACAGGAAGAUGUUGAACGCUCCGAGGGCGCCGGUGAGGGGGUUGACCCCCAUGGUCAGCAGGGCGAUGCCCGGCACACCACAAGAUGCUGCGAAGCAUACAGCAAGCAGGGGGCUGAUCUGUCCUCGCACCAGGGGUCUGUUUUUCGUCCUGUUCAUAUUCGAGUCAAACGGGACCUCAAAGAACUGAUUGAUGGAGUUGGCAGCGCAGGAAGCCAGGCCAG
rnacentral:lncRNA from 1 species